UACGUAGGGCGCAAGCGUUGUCCGGAAUUAUUGGGCGUAAAGAGCUCGUAGGCGGCUUGUCACGUCGUGUGAAAGCCCGGGGCUCACCCCCGGAAGGGCAUUGGAAACUGGCGGACUCGAGUCCCGGAGAGGAAGGUGGAAUUCCUGGUGUAGCGGUGAAAUGCGUAGAUAUCAGGAGGAAUACCGGUGGCGAAGGCGGCCUUCUGGACGGUGACUGACGCUGGAGACG
rnacentral:rRNA from 1 species